UACGGGGGGGCAAGCGUUGUUCGGAAUUACUGGGCGUAAAGGGCUCGUAGGUGGCCAACUAAGUCAUACGUGAAAUCCCUCGGCUUAACCGGGGAACUGCGUCUGAUACUGGAUGGCUUGAGAUUGGGAGAGGGAUGCGGAAUUCCAGGUGUAGCGGUGAAAUGCGUAGAUAUCUGGAGGAACACCGGUGGCGAAGGCGACAUCCUGGACCAACACUGACGCUGAGGAGCGAAAGCCAGGGGAGCAAACGGG
rnacentral:rRNA from 1 species